AGCUUUGCGCAGUGGCAGUAUCGUGGCCAAUGAGGUUUAUCUGUGGUGCGAUUAUUGCUAAUUAAAGAAUUCUUUUCACCUCAUACAAACUGGAACUUUUUUUUUUUAAAGAUUUUAUUUAUUUUUCAGAGUGAGCACA